rnacentral:rRNA from 1 species
UACGUAGGGGGCAAGCGUUGUCCGGAAUCAUUGGGCGUAAAGCGCGUGUAGGCGGCUCGGUAAGUCUGCUGUGAAAGUCCAGGGCUCAACCCUGGGCUGCCGGUGGAUACUGUCGAGCUCGAGUCCGGAAGAGGAGGGCGGAAUUCCCGGUGUAGCGGUGAAAUGCGUAGAUAUCGGGAGGAACAUCAGUGGCGAAGGCGGCCCUCUGGUCCAGUACUGACACUCAAGUGCGAAAGCGUGGGGAGCAAACAGG